rnacentral:lncRNA from 1 species
UCUAGGAUUCAUAUAGCCGACCCCACUUAGUGGGAAAAGGCUUUGUUGUUGUUGUUGUUGUUGUUGAUUGAUGAAAAUACCAAUUGAUGAUAAUACGACAAACAAAUGCUUAAUUAAAAAUUAUAGGCUAAUGUCAUGUGUUCUAUUGGUUGUAUACUUGAAUAACUAGCUCCUGGUUUAGGAGAAAAUCUCAUUGGUGGCUGAUAAUCUAUGGCCUUCUCUGUUGGAAGAAAUCUCCAGCUCGAAUCUCCUUUAUUCGCUGAUCUCGAAAGAAAUUAUUGAACUUUUAUGUAGCAGUUUAAAACCUUAUAAAGCUUUUAGAGUUGUAUAUCAAACAAUAUCUUGGAGUAAUUGGCCGAGUGAGGGGGUGGGUAAAUAAGCAAGUGCAUAGUACUGAUACAUAAUCAUUUAGUCUGUUGAUAUUCAGUUACUACUUUACUAAAUUA